CUAAAUUGUGUUAUACUCCUUAUCCAAGCCUACUAACCCUAGGAACACUUCAGAACUACAAUAUCUUAAUAGUAUAGUGCGGAAUCAUGCCUUUACACGCUUCAGUUACGCUCUAAUAAACUCCUUUCAAUAGCGAGAAAAUAUGAGCUGUCAAGUGAAUGGCAUCUACCAUCACCAUGACAACGGGUCGUGAAUAGCCAAUCCCAGCCCGCCAUUUCAUCCGGGACCUCAAGAUGACCACACUGAUACAAUAUAGUUUAAUUUCCAGCCAAGAUCCGAGUUAACCGAGACAUAUAUGGUGGAUAAAAAGCUCUUAAAAAUAUGGGUGUUCCGAGGAAAGUAUACCACUAGGGAAUGUGGGUUACAUUAGUAAUGGAGGAAUAUUUUGACAGCAGACGAAACUAAAGUGUUGCCACGGUGACGGUGGUGGUGGGCAUGAUACAGAUGCAGGAGGUGGAGUUUGUGCCUGAUGGAGACAUGCAGCUGGACAAAUUGUGUUGGUCAUUGCUCAGAUUGGAGUUUACAUGUGUACCUCCUUCACCAUCAUUGGUGGACACUUCACCAUGAGUGAUGCUUGAGCUGUCACGGUGCUGCUGCUGCUGUCUGCCAUCAUCCCCCUGACACAGACCACCCUGCAGACCACCUUCAUCCUGGGUGCCACACGUCGCUGCUGCUACAACUCAGAGCAACUGGAGCGCAAGCCAGGAAGGGAGAUGUGUUGCCAUGGUGACGGUGGUGGUGGGCAUGACACAGAUGCAGGAGGUGGAGUUUGUGCCCGAUGGAGACAUGCAGCUGGACAAAUUGUGUUGGUCAUUGCUCAGAUUGGAGUUUACAUGUGUACCUCCUUCACCAUCAUUGGUGGACACUUCACCAUGAGUGAUGCUUGAGCUGUCACGGUGCUGCUGCUGUUGUCUGCCAUCAUCCCCCUGACACAGACCACCCUGCAGACCACCUUCAUCCUGGGUGCCACACAUUUAUGGUAUCAUUCAAAAUGUCCUUCAAAGAAACCCCUUUGUAAUCCAACACACUUAGCCCAUUAAUCCUUCCAUUUCUCAUCAAUUUGUUCAACAUUCAUAUUUUUCCCUUAUAGGGUUGAACAAUUUUCAUGGGUUCAGAGCAAAAGGCUUCCUCAUUUUUCCCCAAGGUAUUCUCGGAUGGUAAGCAGGUUUGACUCUGGAGCAAACCUGACCAAGGGCUACUGCCCAAGGCUACAGAGGUUCCUCUCCCUGAGGCUGAAUGCACCAUGUGAGAUGGUUCUGUUAUGUGGAUGAAUGUCAUGGUGGAUAGCAGUGCCACCACAUUCCUACAAUCAUCCAUCACUCCACUGCUCAAACACUUCUGCAACCAAUGAUAGGUAUGCUGCCACAUUCUGCAUGGUCUCCUUGGCUCUCAGAUAAGGAUACUGUCAACAGGUUUGUGAUUGCCAAAAAAUCAUAAGGAGCUAUGUCUGAAAAGUCCAGAGAGAGAGAGAGCGCGAGAGAGAGAGAGAGAGAGAGAGAGAGAAAGAAUGAGCAAGAGAAAGAGUAGGAUGAAGCAAAGGAAGAGUCAAGAGAGAGGAAGAGAGAGUAGGACAAGAAAAAACAGAACAAAUAAAUCCCCUACACGUCUUGUCUCCAUUCACACAAGCCAUGAAAAGCUUGUCCAUCCCUGAGUGCUCAGAAGCAGUGUUCCACUGAUGAUGUGGAAACUUGAGACAGCCAAUCAUUUAAUGGGCUUUAGUAGGUUUUGUCACCAGUCUUCUGUGUGUCACUGACUACAUUUUGAAAUUUUUAUCUGUUCUAUUUAAUUUUGUGUGUAUGUACACAAUGUUUAUGGUCAAUAAACUAUUUAUAAAACUAUUUAUCUGUGUGAGUAAGAUAAAAGCAGUUAUUGUUAUUAUUAUUAUUAUUAUUAUUAUUAUUAUUAUUAUUAUUAUUAUUAUUAUUAUUAUUAUUAUUAUUAUUAUUACACAUUUUCCUCCUUGUAUUUAAAUAUUAUUAUUAUUAUUAUUAUUAUUAUUAUUAUUAUUAUUAUUAUUAUUAUUAUUAUUAUUAUUAUCAUGAAUUGUUCUUGUUUAUAAAUAAAAUACUGUAACUGA